rnacentral:rRNA from 1 species
ACGCUCGACACCUACGGGAGCAGCAGUGGGGAAUAUUGGGCAAUGGGCGCAAGCCUGACCCAGCAACGCCGCGUGAAGGAAGAAGGCUUUCGGGUUGUAAACUUCUUUUGUCAGGGACGAAUAAAUGACGGUACCUGACGAAUAAGCCACGGCUAACUACGUGCCAGCAGCCGCGGUAAUCUGAGCGGGCUGGCAAGGC